AACCUAUUUCUAGAUUAAUGCACUUACUAGAUCAGGUCGUUGGGAGACUUGACCAAAGGGAAAGUUUUGGAUCGGGGUGGCUGCACCUCGUUGAGAUUGAGAUUGCCUACGUACUCUUAGCUCGAGGGGAUUGAACUUAGAGAUCAAGCCAUCGUAGUUCUGUUUAUAUAGAAGAUGAAGGGGCGAAGAUCGUGGGACCUUGCAGAUUCUCCGUCAUAUUUAUGAUUGUAUUGAUGUUCUCCAGCGAUUGUGUAACGGCUAUAGUAAAUGUGCAAUGGCUGGAGAGAGUAUCUUGGGUUCGAAUUAUGGCACGUGCGUAUUAGUAGACCGCUGUUGAUUAUGUGGUCGAGUCGUUGUGGUCGAGCUGCGAGU
rnacentral:lncRNA from 1 species